rnacentral:rRNA from 1 species
CCUACGGCGGCUGCAGUGGGGACUAUUGGACAAUGGGCGAAAGCCUGAUCCAGCCAUGCCGCGUGUGUGAAGAAGGCCUUCGGGUUGUAAGGCACUUUCAGUGGGGAAGAAAGCCUUGGGGCUAAUACCCUCGAGGAAGGACAUCACCCACAGAAGAAGCACCGGCUAACUCCGUGCCAGCAGCCGCGGUAAUACGGAGGGUGCGAGCGUUAAUCGGAAUUACUGGGCGUAAAGCGCGCGUAGGCGGUCUGAUAAGCCGGUUGUGAAAGCCCCGGGCUCAACCUGGGAACGGCAUCCGGAACUGUCAGGCUAGAGUGCAGGAGAGGAAGGUAGAAUUCCCGGUGUAGCGGUGAAAUGCGUAGAGAUCGGGAGGAAUACCAGUGGCGAAGGCGGACUUCUGGACUGACACUGACGCUGAGGUGCGAAAGCGUGGGUAGCAAACAGGAUUAGAUACCCGAGUAGUC